CAGUAACGGCGAGUGAAGCGGCAACAGCUCAAAUUUGAAAUCUGGCUCCUUCGGGGCCCGAAUUGUAAUUUGUAGAGAGUGCUUCGGGCGAGACCUCGGUCUAAGUCCAUUGGAACAUGGUGUCAUAGAGGGUGAGAAUCCCGUAUGCGACCGUGGCUCGAGCCCAUGUGAAGCCUCUUCGACGAGUCGAGUUGUUUGGGAAUGCAGCUCAAAAUGGGUGGUAAAUUUCAUCUAAAGCUAAAUACUGGCUGGAGACCGAUAGCGCACAAGUAGAGUGAUCGAAAGAUGAAAAGCACUUUGGAAAGAGAGUCAAACAGUACGUGAAAUUGUUGAAAGGGAAGCGCUUGCAACCAGACCUGCCCGUAGGCGAUCAGCCGCUGUUCUCAGCGGUGUACUCGCUCUGCGAUCAGGCCAGCAUCGGUUUCGGCGGUCGGAUAAAGGCCUUGGGAAUGUAGCUUCCCUUCGGGGGAGUCUUAUAGCCCUCGGUGCAAUGCGGCCAGCCGGGACCGAGGACCGCGCUCCGGCUAGGAUGCUGGCGUAAUGGUUGUAAGCGACCCGUCUUGAAACACGGACCAAGGAGUCUAACAUCUAUGCGAGUGUUUGGGUGUCAAACCCAUACGCGGAAUGAAAGUGAACGGAGGUGAGAACCCUCAAGGGCGCAUCAUCGACCGAUCCAGAUGUCUUCGGAUGGAUUUGAGUAUGAGCAUAGCUGUUGGGACCCGAAAGAUGGUGAACUAUGCCUGAAUAGGGUGAAGCCAGAGGAAACUCUGGUGGAGGCUCGCAGCGGUUUCUGACGUGCAAAUCGAUCGUCAAAUUUGGGUAUAGGGGCGAAAGAC
rnacentral:rRNA from 1 species